rnacentral:lncRNA from 1 species
GCAUGUGGAUGAGUUUGAGUCAAUUUCAAACUGUGGAUAAUCUAAUUAGUUAUCAGAAAAAUAUGGUUGGUUAGAUAUUCUUUUCUUUUUUUUUUAAAUCUUUUCUUUUUUUUAAAUAAUGAUAAUAACAAUUAACAAAAGGUUUUUCCCCCCCAAAAUUCUCUCCUUUCUCACGUUCUUUCUCCCUCUUUCUCUGUUGUUCCAUUUUCUUCUUCUUUCUAUUAAUUUCUUUUCCUUUUUCCUUUUUCCUUUAUUUUCUCUUUUUCCUUCUUUUUUGUUCAUUCGUAACUGUUGUCAUUAUUGUACUGUUGUUCUUCUUUCGAUCGAAAGUGGGAUAUUUGAAAGGAUUUUUCGUGGUUAAUCUUGGCGUAAGUAAUGUAUUUUUCAUUGUUUAAGUUUAGUUUUUACUCACACACAAGUGUUGUAUUAUCGGAGUUAUGAACUUUGUUAUUAAUCUUUUAGGUUUUUUAGGUGAAGUUUACGAAACGAC